AUGUGCUCUCGCUUCACAGCACCGGGAAAUUGCCUCUGCCUGGCUGAGCAUCCCCAGCCACGUGCCGGAGGGGCUGGUGGCGCUCGAUGGCACCGCGAUGCCUGGUGUCCAGAGCCAGGACGGGCUCCUGGCACCGCAGCUCUUUCCCCGUGGUGCUCCUGGCAUCGGGGUGCAGCACCUCGCCGGGUGCCCAGCACCUUUCCCAGCCCCACAGCCUGCUUUGAUCCCUCUCCUCUGGGCACAGCACCGUCCCACGUCCCCCUCCAGUGCUGCCCGGGCUGGGGGCUUCAGGGGAGCCGUGUCUGGGGGCCGGGAGCUAAUCCCCUCUGGAAUGCCCCAGGCUGGGGCAGAGGGGCCCCCGCCCGCCUGGGCGCCGGCAGCGUUGGGUUUCAGGGCAGCUGCCGCGCCGGAGCAGCGACAGGGACAGAUGGCUCAGGGCUGGCCCCGCUUGGGCUGCAGCUCCCGGGGUUUUUGGCCAUGCCCUGGCCGUGGGUGCCACCAUCCCUGCGGGCAGCGGGGUGGGAAGAAUCCUUCCCCUGGGCCGUGCUGGUGGCUCGGUGCCCCGCGGUGAUGGGUGGCAGGGUGGCACCUCCCCGGCACAGGCUGGGCGCACCUCGGGGGCUCGGGGAAGUAUUUGCAUCUGUUGCGAGGUGUCAGCACGGCCCUGAGGCUUCGGCUCAAGUGGUGGUGGCCCCGUGGGCUGGGUGGUGUUGGGAACGGGUGUUGGAGCCUGCCUCGGGGCUGUCCUGCGGGAUGUGGGAUGUGCAGGAUCGGGCCAAGGGAUGGGGCCGGCUUCCUGCGGCACAAAAUACCCGGAAAGGCUGCGGGAGGGCUGGGGCUGGCCGUGUCCUGCCGUGGGGUGGCCAACGCAGCCUGAGCCCAUCCGGGGAGCGCCCGGAGCUCCCCACAAGCUGCAGAGCCCCCGGAGUGGGUGCUGGGAGCCGUGCGCCCAUGGGUGGAGGGGUUCCUGGCGGUGCCUCCCCGCGCAGCCCGGGGCUGUCCCCUGGGAUGGUUUGGCCGCGGUGCGGAGGAGCGGCGCCGGGCGGUGUUUGCACAGCCCAUACUUUGCCCGUCUCCGAAGAUUGCAGAGAGCUCUGCAAACACGGCCGAGCUCCCUGCCUGACAGCACCCCGGGGUGAGAGCCGCGUCCCAAGGCAGCUCCUUGGCUCACCGGGUCCCCGUGCAGCCGGCGGGGACAGGGGUGCCACUCCUGGGGAGACGCAGCGACCCCUCCUGCUGCUUGGGGAUCGGGGCUGCGAUCCCCAGGGGUGCAUUUCCUGA
rnacentral:lncRNA from 1 species